UACAGAGGGGGCAAGCGUUGUUCGGAAUUACUGGGCGUAAAGGGCGCGUAGGCGGCCUUCUAAGUCGAACGUGAAAUCCCCGGGCUCAACCCGGGAACUGCGUCCGAUACUGGAAGGCUUGAAUCCGGGAGAGGGAUGCGGAAUUCCAGGUGUAGCGGUGAGACGCGUAGAGAUCGGGAGGAACACCAGUGGCGAAAGCGGCUCUCUGGUCCAAAACUGACGCUGAGGGGCGAAAG
rnacentral:rRNA from 1 species